rnacentral:rRNA from 1 species
UACGAGGGGGGCGAGCGUUGUUCGGAAUUAUUGGGCGUAAAGGGUGCGUAGGCGGUUUGGUAAGUCUUGUGUGAAAUCUCCAGGCUCAACUUGGAGUCUGCACGAGAAACUGCCGGGCUUGAGUGUGGGAGAGGUGAGUGGAAUUCCUGGUGUAGCGGUGAAAUGCGUAGAUAUCAGGAGGAACACCGGUGGCGAAGGCGGCCCGCUGGGCAACUGCUGACACUGAGGCGCGACAGCGUGGGUAGCAAACAGG